UUUAAUCUAUAAGACGAGGUCAUCAGCUGGCUAACGUGCUGUGUUUCUGUAAUAUGUGCAGGAUGAUUGUGAGUUUGUUUCACCUGAAGAGAUGAAUAUGUAUGUUCAGUUUGAUAUGAUCUUGAGUGAUGUUUCUGCUUUCCUGGUUGAUGGUGAUUAUGGAUAGCCAAGUUGCGCCUAAAUUGGUUUUAUAAAAUUGUUAUUAGAAAAAAAUUGAGAAUAAUAUGGUAUCACGAAAGGUAAAAGAGAGGCAUUUGAAUCAUUGUGGUAUUGAAAAAGAAUUGGAACUUCCAUUGGAAACAGUUAGAAACAACCCUAAAAAGGCAAGGUGAACAUUUUGGGAUAGGGAGAAUAUUACCCUCAGGAAUGCUUCAUAUUUCACCUUUUUUAUCAACUCGUUUAGUUACUACUUGUUUCAUUGCAGUUUUUCACCACAGCCUACUUAUAUGGAUAUUACUGUCUUAAAAAUGUUGAAUUGCUCUUUUAUCAAAAAAAAAAAAAAGAAAGAUGAAUUACUCAACACAUGUAAGAGAUUCUUAGUUUAUGUAUGUGUUCCCGAUUUUUCUUUUGAAAUGUAUUAUUAGAUGAUGUGCAAUUGUCCUAUUGUCAGAUGACAAUUGAUGAAGUCAAACGAACUGCACAACAACAAGUAAACAGAGCUUUGAAGGAUCAAUCCAGGUUAGAUACUUUUUUAAUUUGUCAAGCUGGUAUUUGAUUUUGUUGAGAUUGCUAGUUCCUCUCCGUGAUUUGAACAGUUUAAAAGAAAAGUGGUUACAUGUUAUUGUCCAGUAAAAUUUCUCUAAAUGUGAUUCGAAUGUAAAACCUAGGUGGUUUUGGGGAGGGAUGGUGUGGUGGCCAGGGAUCAGAGUCAAGGCUCACUGAUUCUGGGCUCGUCUUCCUAUAAAAUUGUCAGGUUUAUCCAUCUUUUGCAGUUUAAUGUUGCAGCCUUGUCAAUCCUUGAAUGACCUAAACAAAUAUAGUAACAGUAGAUAUUGACAUGUUGCAUUCUUUUACACCAUCCACUAAAGAUUACAAUUGAUAUCCGUUUUCUACCAGGUUCUUCCUGGAUUUGAAAAUCGCAGCUCCAAAAAUUACCAUACCUACUGAUUUCUGUCCUGAUAGCAGUCACUCAACUAAGCUGCUUCUUGACUUGGGAAAUUUGGUGAUUUCUACAAAGGUAAAUCUUAGGAUCGUUUUAAUCUAUAAGACGAGGUCAUCAGCUGGCUAACGUGCUGUGUUUCUGUAAUAUGUGCAGGAUGAUUGUGAGUUUGUUUCACCUGAAGAGAUGAAUAUGUAUGUUCAGUUUGAUAUGAUCUUGAGUGAUGUUUCUGCUUUCCUGGUUGAUGGUGAUUACCAUUGGAGUCAAACUCCUACAAAUGGAGUUGGUCCGUCUGUGUCCAACUUUGUUACUUGUUUGCCUG
rnacentral:lncRNA from 1 species